rnacentral:rRNA from 1 species
GAUGAACGCUGGCGGCGUGCCUAAUACAUGCAAGUCGAGCGAACGGACGAGAAGCUUGCUUCUCUGAUGUUAGCGGCGGACGGGUGGGUAACACGUGGAUAACCUACCUAUAAGACUGGGAUAACUUCGGGAAACCGGAGCUAAUACCGGAUAAUAUUUUGAACCGCAUGGUUCAAAAGUGAAAGACGGUCUUGCUGUCACUUAUAGAUGGAUCCGCGCUGCGUUAGCUAGUUGGUAAGGUAACGGCUUACCAAGGCAACGAUGCAUAGCCGACCUGAGAGGGUGAUCGGCCACACUGGAACUGAGACACGGUCCAGACUCCUACGGGAGGCAGCAGUAGGGAAUCCUCCGCAAUGGGCGAAAGCCUGACGGAGCAACGCCGCGUGAGUGAUGAAGGUCUUCGGAUCGUAAAACUCUGUUAUUAGGGAAGAACAUAUGUGUAAGUAACUGUGCACAUCUUGACGGUACCUAAUCAGAAAGCCACGGCUAACUACGUG